UUAUGUGCACUUUCAAAAAUUUCACAAGUGUUGUUACUCGGAUCUGCAUUGUGUGAUUUGAUAGUCGGUUUACGGAUCUGGUAAGUUUUCCGGUUGAAUUUGUUGUUCGUCGAUAGCGAUUCAUGUUAUUGUUAAUUAGGCUUUGAAUUGUUUGAUUAAUGAUUCGAUUUAACGACUCGUUUGAGUUUUGGCUCGAUUGUGUGGUUUUGAAUCUGUUUGAUUGUAUGAUUAAGUUGUACGCAUUGAUUUGUGAAAUUUAAUGGCUUAUUAUGUGUUGAUAAUCAAAUGAAAAUGUUAAUCGUUUGUACUCUCUCGUACUGGAUCUCUAAGAGUAUGAUUUGUGAAUGCGUUUGAUUGUUGAUUUGAUUUAACGAUCCGUUUGAUUGUAUGAUAAACUUGUACGGAUUGAUUUAUGAAAUCUAAUGGCGUAAUAUGUGUGUUAUGUGUUGAUUAUCAAAUGAAAAUGUUAAUCGUUUGUACUUUUUGGUACUGGAUCUCUGAGAGUAUAAAUUGUAAAAUGAUUUUGAUUAUUGAUUCGAUUUAACGUUUUGUUUAAGUUUUAAUACCGGAUCUCUGAGAGUAUAAAUUGUAAAAUGAUUUUGAUUAUUGAUUCAAUUUAACAAUUUGUUUAAGUUUUAAGUUUUAAAUUUGUUUGAUUGUAUGAUAAACUUGUACGGAUUGAUUUAUGAAAUCUAAUGUCGUAUUUUGUGUGUGUUAUGUGUUGAUUAUUAGAUGAGAAUGCUAAUCGUUUGUACUCUCUGGCAUUGGCAUUGGAUCUCUGAGAGUUUGAUAUAUAUUCUCUCAUAUUUUGUUCAUAAAUAUGGUUGAUUUUGAUCUUAAUAGUAAUCUAUACAUUUAGAAUUUUGAUCAUAUCCAGAAGAAGAUGAAGCAUCUGUUUGCUCAUGUGUAUGUUUAUCAUGUGUUUGGAACAGAUUAGUCAUAAAGAGACUGAUUUGGAUCAAUCGGAUGGCUCAUUUUUAUUUAUAAAACCCUUUCCUUAUGUGCACUUUCAAAAUUUCACAAAUUGAAAACAGGGGAUUGAACAAGAGUGGAGGUUGAAGAUGAAGUGUGGUGGUGGGGUUUUAUAAAUAAAAAUGAAGAAGAUGCCCGGAUAGUCCCUAUGGUUUGGCCUUUUAAGGAAAGGGUAUUUUUGUCAUUUCACACCAUUUUAACAGAGAAAAGUAACUGAAGUUAGACCCAGGGACUAUCCGGGAACAAAAAAUGAAAACUUGGGGAUUAUUCAGGUAGUUUUAGAAAGUUGGGGACUAUAGGUGAAAAAAGGCGAAACCACAGGAACUAUCCGGGCAUUUUUCUCAAUUAGUUGUUUAUGAAUUGUCUAAGUAUGUGUUACACAUAGAGUAAUAAAGUAUAUU
rnacentral:lncRNA from 1 species